AUUGAACGCUGGCGGCAGGCCUAACACAUGCAAGUCGAACGAGUGGCGGACGGGUGAGUAAUGUCUGGGAAACUGCCCGAUGGAGGGGGAUAACUACUGGAAACGGUAGCUAAUACCGCAUACCAUCGGAUCUGCACAGAUGGGAUUAGCUAGUAGGUGGGGUAACGGCUCACCUAGGCGACGGUCCCUAGCUGGUUUGAGAGGAUGACCAGCUACACGGGAACUGAGACACGGUCCAUACUCCUACGGGAGGCAGCAGUGGGGGAUAUUGCACAAUGGGCGCAAGCCUGAUGCAGCCAUGCCGCGUGUAUGAAGAAGGCCUUCGGGUUGUAAAGUACUUUCAGCGGGGAGGCGUUACCCGCAGAAGAAGCACCGGCUAACUCCGUGCCAGCAGCCGCGGUAAUUC
rnacentral:rRNA from 1 species